rnacentral:rRNA from 1 species
ACCUCGGCGGUGGCGUCUUGCCUCAAGCGUAGUAGAAAACACCUCGCUUUGGAGCGCACGGCGUCGCCCGCCGGACGAACCUUUGAAUUAUUUCUCAAGGUUGACCUCGGAUCAGGUAGGGAUACCCGCUGAACUUAAGCAUAUCA